rnacentral:rRNA from 1 species
ACAGGUGCUGCACGGCUGUCGUCAGCUCGUGUCGUGAGAUGUUGGGUUAAGUCCCGCAACGAGCGCAACCCCUGCAUUCAGUUGCCAUCGGGUAAUGCCGGGCACUCUGGAAGGACUGCCAUCGACAAGAUGGAGGAAGGUGGGGAGUGACGUCAAGUCAUCAUGGCCCUUACUGUCCAGGGCGACACACGUGCUACAAUGGCCGGCACAACGGGAAGCGAGUUCGCGAGGACGAGCGGAUCCCUCAAAGCCGGUCGCAGUUCGGAUUGAAGUCUGCAACUCGACUUCAUGAAGCUGGAAUCGCUAGUAAUCGUGGAUCAGCCAAGCCGCGGUGAAUACGUUCCCGGGCCUU